GACGAACGCUGGCGGCGUGCUUAACACAUGCAAGUCGAGCGGAAAGGCCCUUCGGGGUACUCGAGCGGCGAACGGGUGAGUAACACGUGAGUAACCUGCCCUGGACUUUGGGAUAACCCUCGGAAACGGGGGCUAAUACCGGAUACGACACACAGCUGCAUGGUUUGUGUGUGGAAAGUUUUUCGGUCUGGAUGGGCUCGCGGCCUAUCAGCUUGUUGGUGGGGUGAUGGCCUACCAAGGCGACGACGGGAGCCGGCCUGAGAGGGCGACCGGCCACACUGGGACUGAGACACGGCCCAGACUCCUACGGGAGGCAGCAGUGGGGAAUAUUGCACAAUGGGCGGAAGCCUGAUGCAGCGACGCCGCGUGAGGGAUGACGGCCUUCGGUUG
rnacentral:rRNA from 1 species